rnacentral:rRNA from 1 species
AGAGUUUGAUCAUGGCUCAGGACGAACGCUGGCGGCGUGCUUAACACAUGCAAGUCGAACGAUGAACUUGGAGCUUGCUCUGGGGGAUUAGUGGCGAACGGGUGAGUAACACGUGAGUAACCUGCCCUGGACUCUGGGAUAACUUCGAGAAAUCGGAGCUAAUACCGGAUAGGACCUUGCACCGCAUGGUGUGGGGUGGAAAGUUUUUCGGUUUGGGAUGGACUCGCGGCCUAUCAGCUUGUUGGUGAGGUAAUGGCUCACCAAGGCGUCGACGGGUAGCCGGCCUGAGAGGGUGACCGGCCACACUGGGACUGAGACACGGCCCAGACUCCUACGGGAGGCAGCAGUGGGGAAUAUUGCACAAUGGGCGCAAGCCUGAUGCAGCAACGCCGCGUGCGGGAUGACGGCCUUCGGGUUGUAAACCGCUUUUAGUAGGGAAGAAGCCUUCGGGUGACGGUACCUGCAGAAAAAGGACCGGCUAACUACGUGCCAGCAGCCGCGGUAAUACGUAUGGUCCGAGCGUUGUCCGGAAUUAUUGGGCGUAAAGAGCUCGUAGGCGGUUUGUCGCGUCUGCUGUGAAAACUAGAGGCUCAACCUCUAGCCUGCAGUGGGUACGGGCAGACUUGAGUGGUGUAGGGGAGACUGGAAUUCCUGGUGUAGCGGUGGAAUGCGCAGAUAUCAGGAGGAACACCGAUGGCGAAGGCAGGUCUCUGGGCACUUACUGACGCUG